UGGCUCAGGACGAACGCUGGCGGCGUGCCUAACACAUGCAAGUCGAGCGAGGAGAUCCUUCGGGAUGAUCCUAGCGGCGGACGGGUGAGUAACACGUGGGCAACCUGCCUCAUAGAGAGGAAUAGCCUUCCGAAAGGGAGAUUAAUACCUCAUAACAUUGCAGUUUCGCAUGGAACAGCAAUUAAAGGAGCAAUCCGCUAUGAGAUGGGCCCGCGGCGCAUUAGCCAGUUGGUGAGGUAACGGCUCACCAAGGCGACGAUGCGUAGCCGACCUGAGAGGGUGAUCGGCCACAUUGGGACUGAGACACGGCCCAGACUCCUACGGGAGGCAGCAGUGGGGAAUAUUGCACAAUGGGGGAAACCCUAAUGCAGCAACGCCGCGUGAGUGAUGACGGCCUUCGGGUUGUAAAGCUCUGUCUUCAGGGACGAUAAUGACGGUACCUGAGGAGGAAGCCACGGCUAACUACGUGCCAGCCGCCGC
rnacentral:rRNA from 1 species